rnacentral:tRNA from 1 species
GCCUUCGUGGUGUAACGGUAGCACACUCGGCGCAUAUUCGAAAGGUCCAGGUUCGAGUCCCGGCGAGGGCA